AUAUUGGACAAUGGGGGCAACCCUGAUCCAGCAAUGCCGCGUGAGUGAUGAAGGCCUUAGGGUUGUAAAGCUCUUUUACCCGGGAUGAUAAUGACAGUACCGGGAGAAUAAGCCCCGGCUAACUACGUGCCAGCAGCCGCGGUAAUACGUAGGGGGCAAGCGUUGUCCGGAUUUAUUGGGCGUCAAGAGCGUGUAGGCGGCCAUACAGGUCCGUUGUGAAAACUGGAGGCUCAACCUCCAGACGUCGAUGGAAACCGUACGGCUAGAGUCCGGAAGAGGAGAGUGGAAUUCCUGGUGUAGCGGUGAAAUGCGCAGAUAUCAGGAAGAACACCCGUGGCGAAGGCGGCUCUCUGGGACGGUACUGACGCUGAGACGCGAAAGCAUGGGGAGCGAAC
rnacentral:rRNA from 1 species